UACGUAGGGUGCAAGCGUUAUCCGGAAUCACUGGGCGUAAAGCGUGCGUAGGUGGUCUGUUAAGUGAGAUGUGAAACCGUGUGGCUCAACCAUACGUUGUGUCUCAUACUGGCAGACUAGAGGACGGCAGAGGCAAGUGGAAUUUGUAGUGUAGCAGUGAAAUGCGUAGAUAUUACAAGGAACACCAAUGGCGAAGGCAGCUUGCUGGGCCACUCCUGACACUGAGGUACGAAAGCGUGGGGAGCGAACAGG
rnacentral:rRNA from 1 species